UAUCAAUAUAUUUAUUUAUUUUGUAAUUAUUAUAGUGGCUUGGCAAUGAGCACUAGAGAUAUAAUCAGCGACUAAUUGAAUUUAUUCGGUACCAUCGGCCACAUGCGUUACAU